UGUGGGAGCGAGCUUGCUCGCGAUAGCGGCGUGUCAGCCACUCUCCAUGGCACUGACAGACAGCCAUCGCGAGCAAGCUCGCUCCCACA
rnacentral:ncRNA from 2 species